AACCGGAUUAGAUACCCUGGUAGUCCAUGCCGUAAACGUUGGGAACUAGAUGUAGGGGCCAUUCCACGGUUUCUGUGUCGCAGCUAACGCAUUAAGUUCCCCGCCUGGGGAGUACGGCCGCAAGGCUAAAACUCAAAGGAAUUGACGGGGGCCCGCACAAGCGGCGGAGCAUGCGGAUUAAUUCGAUGCAACGCGAAGAACCUUACCAAGGCUUGACAUAUACCGGAAACGUCCAGAGAUGGUCGCCCCGCAAGGUCGGUAUACAGGUGGUGCAUGGUUGUCGUCAGCUCGUGUCGUGAGAUGUUGGGUUAAGUCCCGCAGCGAGCGCAACCCUCGUUCUAUGUUGCCAGCACGUUAUGGUGGGAACUCAUAGGGGACUGCCGGGGUCAACUCGGAGGAAGGUGGGGAUGACGUCAAAUCAUCAUGCCCCUUAUGUCUUGGGCUUCACGCAUGCUACAAUGGCCGAUACAAAGGGCUGCAAUACCGUAAGGUGGAGCGAAUCCCAAAAAGUCGGUCUCAGUUCGGGUUGAGGUCUGCAACUCGACCUCAUGAAGUCGGAGUCGCUAGUAAUCGCAGAUCAGCAACGCUGCGGUGAAUACGUUCCCGGGCCUUGUACACACCGCCCGUCAAGUCAUGAAAGUCGGUAACACCCGAAGCCGGUGGCCCAACCCUUGUGGAGGGAGCUGACGAAGGUGGGAUCGGUGAUUAGGACUAAGUCGUAACAAGGUAACCGUA
rnacentral:rRNA from 1 species